UACGGUGGGGGCAAGCGUUGUUCGGAAUUACUGGGCGUAAAGGGCUCGUAGGCGGCCAACUAAGUCGGAUGUGAAAUCCCCAGGCUUAACCUGGGAACUGCAUCCGAUACUGGAUGGCUUGAAUCCGGGAGAGGGAUGCAGAAUUCCAGGUGUAGCGGUGAAAUGCGUAGAUAUCAGGAGGAACACCGGUGGCGAAAGCGCUCGUCUGGCCCAAUACUGACGCUGAUGCGCGAAAGCUAGGGGAGCAAACGGG
rnacentral:rRNA from 1 species